rnacentral:RNase_P_RNA from 2 species
CCAGCUCGAAAGCUACGAAUGCUCAUCACGCAUAGGGUUGCUCCAUGCAUCCAUAUUUCUGAGCGGGCUAAGGUCUGAGUAUUUCAAUCCCCCUCGAUAGGCUCUUGCAGAGCCCAGUUACAGCUAGCUGCGCAACGUACCAGAAAUGCGGCUUCGUUUUCACAUCCCGAAGAUCCUGUCUACAGUAGAGGAGGGUGAGAACGAGAGCUUCGAAAAGCGUUGUGGGGAUCGGGCGAGCUUGUCUCUGUCGUUCUCAAGCAAUCAGUCGUCUAUCGCGCGUGCGUCUGUGAAGAGGACGCUCAUGAUUAUGGGCUAGGGGUGAAGUCUGAGAACAUCACCAUGAUUAAGUACGAGGCGAAGAAUAAUCGCCCGUAUCAGUGGUUUAGUCUCAGAUUAACACCGGCGAAUCCAGAUGAGGCUCGUCUACUGCCAUAGUAAUCAUGAUGGACUGCAUUUUCAAGUUAUGCUCGUUAUUCGAGGUGUGGGAGGUCGAUCACCCCCACCCCCUUGCGUACGAGGCACGUCUGAUUGUAUCAUUGUGCGACAGUGCUGGUUUGUCCUUGAGUUCACUUUCGUGGCUCAUGCAUCCUUUGCGGAUCGUGAAACUCGAUUCAGACUACUCUCGGACUGG